GGGAGUUGAUCUCCGAUUUCUUCUUUUUUGUGGGAGUCAAUUUAUCUACACAGAUAAACAGAAACCAUCAAUUACUUGAUGAAAUAUUUUGUGCAUCAUUCAAAAUAAACAGAAACAAAAAAAUACAGCAGCUUAUCAAACAAGUACAACAACUGUUGAAUUGAGUUUAACAGUCUUUUCUCUCCUCUCAUCUAUAAUUUUUCACAAAGUGAACAAGAAAUGUCAUCCUCUUGGUAAGGCUGCAUGAUUAGGUACCAAGAACAGCCCAUGUUACAUCAGUAUUCAAGUUACUCCAAGGUUUCCUGGUUUGUGUAUAAGUAAUCCCUCUGUUACAAUGUAUUUGGGAUAUCUGACUGAGAAAGAAGUUCAAGAAAGAAUGAAUGACUUAUCGGACUUGUGAUCUUCAACGUGCCAUGAGAUUUCUGUAUUACUAAAGGCAAUGUCAUUAAAGGUGAAAUACAAAUUUUAUAAGUUAAAUUGUUUCCAAAAAUAGAAAAAUUACUAGUAAGGAAAUAGUGCCACAUACAAUGAAAUAGAAGGAGUAAGAUUAACGACAUUGCACAAAUCAAAAGUCAAACUUUAAUACAUUUGAUUAUCUAUACAACUAACAUAUUAUUUACACAAUGACGCAAGUUCAAACUUAGGUAUAUUGGUUCGGAAGAUGACUACAAGAUUGACUCGGUUAUCAUACGAGAAAUCUCAAACAUGUGCUUAGCAGGUAAAUAAUCAAUAUCAAAAUGCUUGCUAGUUAGUGUUAUGCUCUUAUGGCCCUUCCUAUUGGAAGAUGACUUCAAGAUUGACUUGGUUAUAUCUCAAACACGUUUUAAACAGGUCAAUAAUCAUUAUCAAAUAGCUUGUUAGUUAGCUUUGUAUACUUUUAGAGUCCUUGUUUUCUAAUUAUGGCUAUGACCUCCUCAAAUCACUAAAAUGCAUAGAGUUAGUUAACGCCUAUGAUAUAACCUGGGAGGUCUACAUCAGAGUGUAGAUAAGACUUGAGGAUCUGAAAAAGCUUAUUUCAAGUUGUCUCUGAAGGUUUUUUCUUCCAAGCUCAAAAAAAGUUUCAAGAGAAUUAUAAGAACAGUGUGUUCUUCCUUAAGUACAAAAGGGAAGUUAAAGUACUAGCUACAGUUUGACUAGAGAUAUUUGAGAAACAGCAUCAGGAAAACAAAGGAACUCCAGUAUCAGUAGUUCAUGUGGAUUUAGAGUAAACAAUCAACUAGGUAAGAAAAUCUUUGUAAAACAUGUUGGGAUUGCGUGUAACUCCGCACUAGUAUGAUAUUGUCCGCUUUGGGCCAAGCCCUCACGGAUUUGUUUUUGGACACCUCCCAAAAGGCCUCAUAUUAGUAGAGUUGGGUGACACUUUAAAUAUUGGACAUGUUCCCUCUAUUUUUCAGAUGUGGGAUUGUGUUUGCUUCUUAACAAAACAUAGUCAGCUAAGUAAACUCACCUCCGGCUGAAGGAACCAACUUUCCAUCUUUUUCAAAAAAGUAAUGUAUUGACACAUGACCCUAGAGAUAGAAGGCUAGUGCCAGUUUGGGUCGUUGGGGUACGGCAUUACUUGGUAGGUGUAUUAUUAUUGUUAGGCUAACUUGUUGCAGGCUUUAUUACGAAUUUCUUUAAUAUUCCCUGUUUAUUUUUCCUUGGGGGUGGCGUAUUUAUAUCUUGUCAUCUUGUCCCAUGCUUUAUUACGGAUUUGUUUAUUAUUCCUUGUCUUGAGCUGGGGGUCUAUCGGAAACAGUCUUUCUACUUCUCCGGAGGUAGUGGUAUGGACUGCGUACAUCUUACCCUCCCCAAACCCCACUGCGUGAGAAUACACUGGGUUUGUUGUUGUUGUUGUUGUUGUCAUGUAUUGACACAAAGGGCUUCCCUUGAAUGUCAACAGUCCCCACACUACUCUUGUCUGACAGCUACACAAUAGCAAUGAGCAAACUUAGGGACAAAAUAGAACAUAUACAUGUCUAUUAAGUUCUAAAACAUUUUAAAUCCUUUCUGUUAUAGGGAAAAGGAAGUCACUCGUCUGGGGUCAGUCAUACAAGCUACAGUUAGGUCAGGAAAUAACACAAAAAUGCAAAAUGGCAAAGCAGAAUGCACAUAUUGUAUCUGUGUUUAAGAACUAUCGGGAUAUGUCACAACUAUUUCAACCACAUACAAUACAUCUAGCAUAUUGUUUGCUCGUUCUUUAUUCUUUUUCAUUUGUUGUCCCUUUAUUUGACCAGAUAUGUAUCUUUUCACAUGCAAACAGAUAAUAAGGUAGCUAAAGGUGAGAACGUGUAUGCAAUGAUCAUGACUUGCCACAUGAAUUGCUGCAACUACAACCAGCAAAUGAUACAGGGUUCUGCAUUUUUAUUCGGGCUUCAUAGUCCACUUGUGGAAUGCGAUGGCAACAAGCAAAGACGUAAUAUAUGCUUUAGAUAAUGGUUAUCAGAAAGUGUUAUGCAUAUGCUUUAUAUAAUGUGCUCGAAAUAACCUCCAUUAAUUUGUUUCCAGUGGCGUGGAUUAGUAGUAAAUGAAGUAGGAGGUGUUAGGUUGUGGAGCCUGAUUAAUAUGUGACGUACUGUUAUUUAUUAAUGUUCACGCGGUUCAACCCAAAUUUUAGGCUGUACCUUUUAUUCUUAUUCUCUGAGUAAUUGUACAUACUCCAAGUCAUUAAUAUAAAUAGCCUGUCCGCCGUGGAGGUUACCCACGGGUGUUACCACGAAAUUACCUCUCUCUCUCCUCAAGAACUCUCUCUAGUUUUCUUCAUCCUCUACAUAGAUUUAGUGUGUGUGAACUGCUAAUCGAUCCUAACAGGAGGAGAACCACGAGGUCUCAGAUUUCAAGUAUCCGACAAAAAAAGGUAAUUUCUUCCUAUCCGUCUUGUUGAGAUUAGGCUUUACAGAUGAUGGUCAGUUAGUUAGUCUAUGUGAUCAAUUACAGGUAGAAUGUACAGCUGACAAGGAAUGUACAGCUGUCAAGGUAGUUAGUUAUGGUCUACAGCUGGAAAGAAGUUAGUAGAGUUAGUAUUUAGUGUGUGUAUAUAAUGUUGUGUACAGAAACAGAGAAUUCAUUCUUCCUUUCAUCAAAUAACAAAAUAUCUUCUCCAAUAUUUCUCUCUCUAGAUUGAUCUCCAUUGAUGAACUUAUGGAAACAUUCAUGAAGCUCUUCGCCUAGAUUUCUACACGUCUAACCCUUGGUGAGUAGAGGGGCCCGAUACUUAUGCCGGUUGAGGUAAUCGGUGAAAUAAUCAAGGUGUGAGCAAGUUGACCCGAACACCACCGUCUUAAAGAAAAAUAAUCACGCUAAGUUUCUUCUUGGGUGGACAACAAUCUCAGCUUUCUCAUUGCAUUUUUUAAGAAGAAAAACAGAACUUCUCUUGCUAGAGAAAUCCCAUACGCAUAUUAAUACCCUUUUCUCUUCCAAUAAUUUUUUAUAUCAUUCAAUAAAUCAACUAGCUCUAAAUCCUAAUACGGGUUGGGUAAAUCUAAUCUCUAUAUCGAUUUCAUUCUAUUCGAGCCAAUUAGGGAUUCUCUUCUUUUAUUCCAAUAGAUUUUUUCCAUUAGGAUCAAUUGACAACUGUAUUGCAGGUGGCCUUGUUGCACUAAAGCUCUUGCGGCGGAAGGGCCUUGCCAUAUAUUUAUGAGAGGCUGUUUACACGACUUGAACCCGCACAGCAACUUUACAAGUUAGUCAAGGCUGCAAUGGCCUAGACAUCAUAGUCAUGAAAUUUUUUAUUUUUUUUAAAAAGAGUAAUUUUUACUAACCUCACAAAUAACUGGACCAUUAUUCUCAUUGGAAUCAACAAAACUCCCAUCUGCAGUUUGAAGUAUAUCUAAGAAUGCUUGGCGGAUUUUUCAGCGGUUGGGUUCUGAAAGCUGUAGGUCCAUAACCAUUGUUGUGUACAAAUAAUGUGCACAGUGUGAAGUGAAGGAAGUAAAACUGGAUUAAUAAAAUGAUUAGGGAUUAGGAUUAAUGGCGGAUGCCGGAUGGAACUAGACUAAUGAGCUGAUUAGGAUUACUCCCUCAUUAACAGAAACCAAAAAAAGGAUCCACCGAGGUUUGAAC
rnacentral:lncRNA from 1 species